AGCGAACGCUGGCGGUAGGCCUAACACAUGCAAGUCGAACGAACCCUUCGGGGUUAGUGGCGGACGGGUGAGUAACACGUGGGAACGUGCCUUUAGGUUCGGAAUAACUCAGGGAAACUUGUGCUAAUACCGAAUGUGCCCUUCGGGGGAAAGAUUUAUCGCCUUUAGAGCGGCCCGCGUCUGAUUAGCUAGUUGGUGAGGUAAUGGCUCACCAAGGCUACGAGCAGUAGCUGGUCUGAGAGGAUGCCCAGCCACAUUGGGACUGAGAAACGGCCCAAACUCCGACGGGGGGCAGCAGUGGGGAAUCUUACGCAAUGGGCGAAAGCCUGACGGAGCCAUGCCGCGUGGAUGAUGAAGGUCUUAGGAUUGUAAAAUCCUUUCACCGGUGAAGAUAAUGACUGUAGCCGGAGAAGAAGCCCCGGCUAACUUCGUGCCAGCCGCCGCCGUAAUAC
rnacentral:rRNA from 1 species